UUGGUGGUCACUUGCUCGCUGGCCUUGGUGGUCUGAAGUUUAACUUGCUCAUUUGCCUUGGUGGUCUCAAUUUUACUUGCUCACUUGCAUUGUUGGUCUCAAUUUAACUUGCUCACUUGUCUUGGGUGGUCUCAAUUUAACUUGCUCACUUGUCUUGGGUGGUCUCAAUUUAACUUGCUCACUUGUCUUGGUGGUCUAAAUUCAACUUGCUCACUUGUCUUGGUGGUCUCAAUUUAACUUGCUCAUUUGUCUUGGUGGUCUCAAUUCAACUUGCUCACUUGCUUUGGUGGUCUCAAUUUAACUUGCUCACUUGCCUUGGUGGUCUCAAUUCAACUUGCUCACUUGCUUACAUGUUUGUAGUCUUUAAUGUCUAUCGUUUUGUAAUUAAUAUGCCUGUCUGUCUGUUUGUUUUUGUUUUUGUUUUGUAUUUUAGUAACAAUCCUAUUUUGGAUUUUAUACUAUUAAAAUUCUUAUUCUUAUUCUUAUUCUUGCCUUGAUUAGGCCAAUU
rnacentral:lncRNA from 1 species